rnacentral:rRNA from 1 species
CGCGUAGGCGGACUAUUAAGUCAGGGGUGAAAUCCCGGGGCUCAACCCCGGAACUGCCUUUGAUACUGGUAGUCUAGAGUUCGAGAGAGGUGAGUGGAAUUCCGAGUGUAGAGGUGAAAUUCGUAGAUAUUCGGAGGAACACCAGUGGCGAAGGCGGCUCACUGGCUCGAUACUGACGCUGAGGUGCGAAAGCGUGGGGAGCAAACA